UUGGCGGUCAGCGCGGGCGCUGUCAGGCCGCCGCCCUGGCGGUUGAUGCCCUUGUUGUUCGACAGGUCGCCGCCGAUC
rnacentral:tRNA from 1 species